rnacentral:pre_miRNA from 1 species
AAUAAACUAACUUUUCACUUUUUACCUUUAAUUUUUGACUCUUCGUCUUAUUCAAAUUUUUUUGAGAUUGAUAUUUUUGUUUUUAUCAGAUGAUAAAUUAUAAAUAGUACUUUACGUGUGACCUAUUUUUUUCUAAUUUUCUAAAAAAAUUUAAAUAAGACAGAUGAUUAAAUGUUAGACAUAAAAACCGGAGAAUUCGCUGUUU